UUGGAUUCCAAGCUUAGAGAGUGACAUCAGCCUAAGCCAGGCCAACAGCUCAAUAUUCUGGCAUCUUUUUGGAAAUUCUUUUGUCAUUCCCAAACCCACCCUGACACUUGAGAUUCAAUGCUCCCUGUGACUCCCCAGUACUAAAGAAGUGCCAAGCUCAGAUGGAUUCAUCCCAGUGUGAGAUUUUACAGUCACUCAAGAACACACUGCUUCUUUUUUCUUUUUGGAGACAAGGCCUCAUUCAGUCACCCAGGCUGGAAUCCAGUGGUGCGAUCACGGCUCACUGCAGCCUUGACCUUCCAGGCUCAAGCUGAUCCUCCCACCUCAGCCUCCUGAAUAGCUUGGACUACAGGCGUGUGCCACCACACCUGGCUAAUUUUUUUAUUUUUCUGUAAAAACAGGGGUCUUAGUAUGUUGCCCAGGCUGGUCUUGAACUCCUGGGCUCAAGUGAUCCUCCCACCUUGGCCUCCCACUGCUUCUUUUAGUGUCUCGGGAUAAUUGACUGUGGAUUUCCCCCCACACUGCUGAGCCUUCUUGUUUCCAUUGCUUCUUCAUCAGACGUUCUCCAGUGGGGCUCCCACACAGUAGUUUAAUGAACAGCCUUUAAUACUAUACCCCACAGAACUGCAAAGACAUGAGGCUGUGUGGUAAAAACUGGUACUUCAACACAUUUUACUUAGGCUCAGAAAAUCUGUUAAAUGUUAGAUUCUUUUAACAAAACCCAUGGCAGUUUCUCCCCUCCCCACAUCCAUACAGUUGUCAUCCUGGAAAUUCUUUUCACAGAUCACCAGGAUACCAUAAGACUCCCCAGGUUCACCUUGAUGUUCACCAAAGCAAGUCAUUAAUGAUGUACUCAGCGGCAGGUGUCAGUGCUGGGUUUUGGCUAAUGUUUUUAAUCUUUCCUGUAAGACAAAUGUGUUUUUAAACUUGUGUUUUACCCGCCCCCACUCCCCGCCCCUCCCCUAGGCUGUCUAGGGUUGCUCCUUAAUGUUCAAAAUAAUUCCAUGCUUAUGCAAAUAACAGAAAACUCAUAGAUCUCCCAAAAAGGGUUUCUUAGGGCCCAGUGCAGCGGCUCACGCCUGUAAUUCCAGCACUUUGGGAGGCUGAGGCAGGCAGAUCACUUGAGGCCAGGAGUUCCAGACCAGCCUGAACAACAUGAUGAAACCCUGUCCCCACUAAAAAUACAAAACUUAGCUGGGCAUGGUGGCGGACGCAUGUAAUCCCAGCUACUUAGGAGGCUGAGGUGGGAGAACUGCUUGAACCCGGGAGGCGGGGAGGUUGCAGGGAGCCGAGAUUAUGCCACUGCACUCCAGCGUGGGUGACAGAGCAAGACUCCGUCUCAAGGAAAAAAAAAAAUUCCUAUCACUCAAGACAGCCCAUAAUCUUGAAUAUCAUGAAGCCCCUGCCAUUUCCUUCUUCUCUUCCUAAGUGAAUUGCUGGAAGACUCAAAUUUUAAUGAAACUAAAAAGCAUGAAAACUGUGGGAGGUGUAGAAAUAAAUACUUGGUCCUACCUGAAACCCACAAAAGUUCCAGAAGGGAGGCAGCACCCAAGGGUGUGCACAGGACAUUGUAGGAGAAGGACUGACCUCAAGAUCCAGAAUGAUUUGCUAAAUCUCCCACAUCUGUGUCUUCAAUAGCACAGAAAUGUUUCUAAUAACUUGGUUCACAACAAGAACCAAACGUUUCCUCAAGUCUUGCCACGAAUAUUUUCGAAAACAACGAUGGCCACAUUAAUAGAAAUCAGACCUGGAAAUACAUACCCAGGUUGUUAUAAGGAUAUCCAGAUUAGAGAGUUUAAGAAAGUUCAGACCCUUAAGCAAAGUGUCCUGUGUGAUAUUAGGAAUUGGCAAUUGAGUCCCACAGCCUACGAGUCUUGUGUUGAAACUCUCCAUCCUAGAGGCGGUUUUCAGCCUCUGGGUGGAAAUCUGUGCCUAUCACUGUCUCCCCAGCCCUCCUUCUCCACUGAUGUGGGUGGACACACAGACAUACAUAUUGGCCAGCCAGUUAGAUUUUGGCCAACUUUUUAAAUGUUAAUUAUAAAACGUUUAUUAUAAAACCUUUAAAAAUCAGGUUUUAGGCCAGGCACGGUGGCUCACGCCUGUAAUCCCAGCACUUUGGGAGGCCGAGGUGGGCGGAUCACGAGGUCAGGAGAUUGAGACCAUCCUGGCUAACAGGGUGAAACCCUGUCUCUACUAAAAAUACAAAAAAUUAGCCAGGCGUGGUGGUGAGCACCUGUAGUCCCAGCUACUUGGGAGGCUGAGACAGGAGAAUGGCAUGAACCUGGGAGGCAGAGCUUGCAGUGAGCGGAGAUGGCGCCACUGCACUCCAUCCAGCCUGGGCGACAGAGCGAGACUCCGUCUCAAAAAAAAUAAAAAUAAAAAAAUCAGGUUUUAAAAUGGCAUAAAAUAGAUGGAAUAAAAGUGUUUUAUUUCAUCAUUUAUUUUGCACCCUUUUAAUAGUUCUAUAUUAUUGCAUUCUAUGUAUGGAUGUACCACAGCUUACUUAACCAAACCAUCAUUGUCAAACACACAUCUUUUACACAAUUUUACAAGGUGCUAUGCUAAGUGUAAAUUUUUACACAUAUCUAUGACAGUUUUGUGAGAUAAGCAGACCUACUACAUCAAAGAACACAAAGGUUUCAGGACGUUUGAAAUUUAUUUGUAAAUUAGCCACCACUUAUGUUUUACAUUCCCAGCAACAAUAUGUGAUUUCUCACUCUUCCAAACACUAAUCACUUUUUAAAUUUUACCACCUUGUUAGGUUAAAAACAACACCUUGUUUGGAUUUGUAGUGUGUUUCAUUAUUAGGGAGAUUGAACCUCUUGUCAUUUGGUUAGUUGGUUGCUUCAGUCAAUAAUAAGAUAUUUAUUGAGUGCCUAUUAUGUUACCAGUUCUAAACUGGGGAAGACAAAUGGUUUGCAGAUCAUGUAAAGAACAAUAAAAUACCAGGAUAUAUAACAAGAAGAAAACAAGACUUAGAAAGGACAAUUGUUUUAAGAGCUGAGCUCUAGAAAGGAAGUUAGACUGAUGCAUUUUUUUCUCCUUAUAAUCUUUUGUAUUUUUGUUGUUGUUGUUAUUUUGUCUUGCCUUUGUUUUUUGUUGUUUGAAACAGAGUCUCUCUCUGUCGCCCAGGCUGGAGUGCAGUGACACGAUCUCAGCUCACUGCAACCUCUGCCUCCUGGAUUCAAGCAAUUCUCCUGCCUCAGCCUCCCAAGUAGUUGGGAUUACAGGCAUGGCCAAUACUCCUGGCUAAUUUUUGUAUUUUUUGUAGAAAUGGGGUUUCGCCAUGUUGUCCAGGCUGGUCUCAAACUCCUGGCCUCAAGUGCUCAAGUGAUCCUCCAGCCUUGGCCUCCCAAAGUGCUGAGAUUACAGGUAUUAGCCACCAUGCCUGGCCAAUCUACUCUGUUUUUAAACUUGUUUUGUAUAUACACUAUACACCAAAAAACACAUACAUAUGUGCAUCUUAAAGAAUUAUAGAAAUUAAAAAAUGAAAUUAAAGAAAUGAAACAUAAACCCAUGUGCCAGUCUCCCAGCUUAAGAAAGAAAGGUAACUGAUUAUUCUGCAGCCUUAUAAAUACCUCCACCCAGAAACAGGUUCUCCUCUUUUUUUCUAAGAGGUAAGUGCUGAGCUUUAUAUAAACCCCCUCCUGAAUUUUCUUUAGAGAUUUUAACAUAUGUGAACAUAUCUCUGAUUAACAUAUUGUUGAGUUUGGCCUGUUGUUGAAUCAUAUAUAAGUUCCGCAAUUUAGGGCUUUUUUUGUUUUGCUUGGUUCUCUUUUUUCAUACACUUUGUUCUUGACCUGUAUCGAGUAUAGGUUUUUCAUUUUCAGUGAUAUAAAGUCUACCAUUACUUAGUAUACAUCAAUAUACUUAUCCAUCCUGCCAUCACUGGACAUUUGAGUUCAGGUUGUUUUCUUUUUAGAAUUAUCACAAGCAAUAUUGCUAUGAAGAAUCUUAUGCAUGUCUCCAGAUCAAAAGUGGUGCAAGAGUGUCUUUAGGGUAUAUAUUAGGUUGAACCACAUGAAAUUGCCAUUUUUGUAUGUCACAGACAGUCUAAUUACUCGCUUACAGGGUCGGCAUGUGUUUGACUUAAUUCCUAAUAAAUUAUUUUAUAAAAUGGUUUUAUCAACUUGCACAAACACAGCAGUGUUUGAAAGCUCCCUUUGUUCCACAUUCCUGCCAAUACUUGGCUUUGCAAGACAUUUUGAUUUGGGCCACUGUAGAGGAUGUGUAGUGAUGUCUCA
rnacentral:lncRNA from 10 species